AGGCGCUCCCCGCCAUAGAGGACCCGGAGCGGCUCCUCGAGGAGCUGCUGGGCCGGGGGCAGGAGCAUUGGGGCGAGCGCGGCGGCGGCGGCGGCGCUUGUUGUCUGGGCCGGGCGUGCCGCGGGGGGCAGCGCAGAGGGCGUUAGCGUGCCGGAGCCGGAGCCGGCCCGCGCCAGUCCCCGGGGGUGGCCGCCCCUGGCUGCGCAGCCCCCACAUCCCCCAGAAACGGGCUUUAGCCCCCUCCCGUCCAAGACCCAGCGGGCUCCCCGGCCUUGGUAGAGCUGCUCCCGGGUGGGGGGGACCAGGCGGCAAGGGUGAGAAGCCAGGACGGGGGUGGGGGGUAUUAGGUGCCUAUAUAAGAAAAAGUCCCCCCCCCCAAGUCGGGAUUGUCCCUAUAAAAGGGGGACGUCUCGUCACCCUACUCCCCGCGCCACGGUGCGAGGCGGGAUUUUGCAGACGUUAAGGGUGCGCGCAGAAUUCCCGCCCCCCAGUAAUGGGCUGCAGAGAGGUUGGCCGCCAUGGGGCUGCUGGGCCCGGCAGAGGCCAGCUCACACAUAGAGGUAGUGCCUAUGAGCCCCAUUCACGGACCAGAACCCUACUGUGGUAGGCACUGCACAAACAUGUCGCAGAAAGAUGGUCCCUGCCCCAAGGAGUUGAUGUAAGUACUAUCUGCUUCCUCCUUGCACAGAAAAUCAAAAAUGUACAGUACAUUUGUUGCUAUUAAACGCUUGACAACACAGUGGGCCAAAUUUUCUGCUGAGAAUGGGCAAAACUCCAUUUAAGUCAAUGGAGCGCUGUCCAUUUACAGCAGCAGAGAAUUUACCCAUAUUUUGCAAUAUUCCAAAUUCUGGAUCCUUGAUGUAAAUUGGUGUAGCUCCAUUGUAGUCAUUGGGGUCAGAUUCUCAGUUGGUGUAAAUCAGCAUAGCUCUACUGAAGUCAGUUUACACCAGCUGAGACUCUGGCCCUGUAAGUGCAUUGUAGGAGAGGAAAUGUCACAAACAGCAGUGUUAUGAAGUGGCUGAAACUGUGUUAGGGUUGAUUUAAAACCUCACUGAGAUUGGUAGGUGUGAAUACUCCCUUCAGUUAACAUAACUGUGAGGAUAAGUUGAUCAAAAUCCUCCAUCUAAGACAAAAUGGUUAUGUGAGCCUGCCCAGGACUUUUGGACUCUGUGGGCGGAGGGUUUUUUGCUGAGUUAUUGUUUCAGGUAAGGAUGUCUGUAUGUGGGGAAAGGAGAACACAGAACCACAGAGAGGUCAGCGUGAAGAAAUCCAAGCAGAACCCUGUGAGCAUGGCAUGACCCUGAUAUAAACCUUGAGAGAAGUUCUGGGUCAGGGAUGCUGGCUGAAAAGAAGUGUGAGCCUAGUAGCAGCCAUGUUAGUCUGUAUCAGGCCCAACAAAGAAAAUAACAGAACGCCACUAGCCAUCAUCUUCAGCUCCCAACUAAAACCUCUCCAACGCAUCAUUGAGGAUCUACAACCUAUCCUGAAGGACGACCCAUCACUCUCACAAAUCUUGGGAGACAGGACAGUAAUUGCCUACAGACAGCCCCCCAACCUGAAGCAAAUACUCACCAGCAACCACACACCACACAACAGAACCACUAACCCAGGAACCUAUCCUUGCAACAAAGCCCGUUGCCAACUCUGGCCACAUAUCUAUUCAGGGGACACCAUCACAGAGCCUAAUAACAUCAGCCACACUAUCAGAGGCUCGUUCACCUGCACAUCCACCAAUGUGAUAUAUGCCAUCACGUGCCAGCAAUGCCCCUCUGCCAUGUACAUUGGUCAAACUGGACAGUCUCUACGUAAAAGAAUAAAUGGACACAAAUCAGAUGUCAAGAAUUAUAACAUUCAUAAACCAGUCGGAGAACACUUCAAUCUCUCUGGUCACUCAAUUACAGACCUAAACGUUGCAAUAUUACAACAAAAAGACUUCAAAAACAGACUCCAAUGAGAGACUGCUGAAUUGGAAUUAAUUUGCAAACUGAAUACAAUUAACUUAGGCUUGAAUAGAGACUGGGAGUGGAUGUGUCAUUACACAAAGUAAAACUAUUUCCCUAUGUUUAUUUCCCCACCCCCCCGCUCUUCCUCAGACGUUCUUGUCAACUGCUGGAAAUGGCCCACCUUGAC